rnacentral:rRNA from 1 species
UGCCAGCAGCCGCGGUAAUACGGAGGGAGCUAGCGUUGUUCGGAAUUACUGGGCGUAAAGCGCGCGUAGGCGGCUUUGCAAGUAGAGGGUGAAAUCCCGGGGCUUAACCUCGGAACUGCCCCCUAAACUGCAGAGCUAGAAUCCUGGAGAGGUGAGCGGAAUUCCUAGUGUAGAGGUGAAAUUCGUAGAUAUGGGGAGGAACACCGGAGGCGAAGGCGGCCACCUGGACCGGUACUGACGCUGAGGCGCGAAAGCGUGGGGAGCAAACAGGAUUAGAUA